CAGGCACUGCCGUGACCCUGAGAGUGCAGGGAGUCUAGCCACCUUUCUACCCGUUGAGAGAAUGCUUCGAUUUUCAUGCAACAAUGGAGCAAAAUUCAAAAAUGGGAAGGGACAGUGUCACUGCAAAGGGUUCCUAAUAUGACCUGGUUCAUUCAGCCAACAUGCAUUUGGUACCACUAUAUGUCAGUCCUCGUGGCAGACACCAAAGGGGACACAGGGAUUUCAUCCAUGCUGCCAAGAAACAUUCAGUCUGAAU
rnacentral:lncRNA from 1 species